rnacentral:rRNA from 1 species
GUGGGGAAUUUUGGACAAUGGGCGCAAGCCUGAUCCAGCCAUGCCGCGUGUGUGAAGAAGGCCUUUUGGUUGUAAAGCACUUUAAGCGAGGAGGAGGCUACCGAGAUUAAUACUCUUGGAUAGUGGACGUUACUCGCAGAAUAAGCACCGGCUAACUCUGUGCCAGCAGCCGCGGUAAUACAGAGGGUGCAAGCGUUAAUCGGAUUUACUGGGCGUAAAGCGCGCGUAGGUGGCCAAUUAAGUCAAAUGUGAAAUCCCCGAGCUUAACUUGGGAAUUGCAUUCGAUACUGGUUGGCUAGAGUAUGGGAGAGGAUGGUAGAAUUCCAGGUGUAGCGGUGAAAUGCGUAGAGAUCUGGAGGAAUACCGAUGGCGAAGGCAGCCAUCUGGCCUAAUACUGACACUGAGGUGCGAAAGCAUGGGGAGCAAACAGGAUUAGAAACCCCGGUAGUCC